UGCGGGGUCGUCUAACGGCAGGACAGCAGCCUUUGAAGCUGCGUAUGUAGGUCCGACUCCUACCCCCGCAG
rnacentral:tRNA from 1 species